CCUACGGGAGGCUGCAGUAGGGAAUCUUUCACAAUGGGCGAAAGCCUGAUGGAGCAACGCCGCGUGCAGGAUGAAGGCCUUCGGGUUGUAAACUGCUUUUAUAAGCGAGGAAUAUGAUGGUAACUUAUGAAUGAGGAUCGGCUAACGACGUACCAGCAGCAGCGGUCAUACGUAGGAUCCGAGCAUUAUCCGGAGUGACUGGGUGUAAAGAGUUGCGUAGGUGGCAUAAUAAGUAGCUAGUGAAAUCGGGUGGCGCAACAAUUCAGACUAUUAGCUAAACUGUUAAGCUCGAGACCGUUAGGGGUAAGUGGAAUUUCUAGUGUAGGAGUGAAAUCCGUAGAUAUUAGAAAGAACACCGAUAGCGUAGGCAGGUUACUGGGACGGUUCUGACACUAAGGCACGAAAGCGUAGGGAGCAAACGGGAUUAGAUACCCGGGUAGUC
rnacentral:rRNA from 1 species